UGGGGAAUCUUAGACAAUGGGCGCAAGCCUGAUCUAGCGAUGCCGCGUGAGUGAUGAAGGCCUUAGGGUCGUAAAGCUCUUUCGCCUGUGAAGAUAAUGACGGUAGCAGGUAAAGAAACCCCGGCUAACUCCGUGCCAGCAGCCGCGGUAAUACGGAGGGGGUUAGCGUUGUUCGGAAUUACUGGGCGUAAAGCGCACGUAGGCGGACUAGUCAGUCAGAGGUGAAAUCCCAGGGCUCAACCCUGGAACUGCCUUUGAUACUGCUAGUCUUGAGUUCGAGAGAGGUAAGUGGAAUUCCGAGUGUAGAGGUGAAAUUCGUAGAUAUUCGGAGGAACACCAGUGGCGAAGGCGGCUUACUGGCUCGAUACUGACGCUGAGGUGCGAAAGUGUGGGGAGCAAACAGGAUUAGAUACCCUGGUAGUCCACACCGUAAACGAUGAAUGCCAGACGUCGGGUAGCAUGCUAUUCGGUGUCACACCUAACGGAUUAAGCAUUCCGCCUGGGGAGUACGGUCGCAAGAUUA
rnacentral:rRNA from 1 species